rnacentral:rRNA from 1 species
AGUGAACGCUGGCGGCGUGCUUGACACAUGCAAGUCGAACGAGAACGGAUUAUAGCUUGCUAUAAUUGUCAGCUAAGUGGCGCACGGGUGAGUAAUGUAUAGGUAAUAUGCCUCUUACUAAGGGAUAACAAAUGGAAACGUUUGCUAAUACCCUAUACUCCUUAUUAACAGAAGUUAAUAAGGGAAAGAUUUAUUGGUAAGAGAUUAGCCUGUAUUGUAUCAGUUAGUUGGUGGGGUAAUGGCUUACCAAGACUAUGACACAUAACUGGUUUGAGAGGAUGAUCAGUCACACUGGAACUGAGACACGGUCCAGACUCCUACGGGAGGCAGCAGUGGGGAAUAUUGCACAAUGGACGAAAGUUUGAUGCAGCAACGCCGCGUGGAGGAUGACACAUUUCGGUGCGUAAACUCCUUUUAUAUGAGAAGAUAAUGACGGUAUUAUAUGAAUAAGCACCGGCUAACUCCGUGCCAGCCGCCGCCGUAA